ACGCAUAAGAGGUUUUUUUCGUACUAAUUGUAAAUCGUUGUUCAUGCAGUCAUUGCAAAAAUAUGAUAACAGUGAAUGUGCUAUAUAAAACUGCUGUGAUGAUAUGAUGCAGUUCGAAGUCAUUUGAUUGAGCGUCAAGAAAUUUUCAUCUGGCGUUCAAAGAUUUACAAGAUUUUGUUUUAUAAAUAAAGCAUAAUAUUUUAAGUGGAAAUUUCUACAAACGUGUUUAGAAUAUAUUUUGUGAUCCUUUUUGAACGAUGCCUGGGUUUAUUCAGAUUCAGAAAAAGACACUUGAUUGCAUUUGACGACAAGCGUCUUGUUUAGAGCGAUAAAUAGGUACUUAUUUCUUGUGCGUACUGAUAUUCAAGAAUCAA